CCUACGGGUGGCAGCAGUGAGGAAUAUUGGUCAAUGGACGAGAGUCUGAACCAGCCAAGUAGCGUGAAGGAUGACUGCCCUAUGGGUUGUAAACUUCUUUUAUAUGGGAAUAAAAUGUUCCACGUGUGGGAUUUUGUAUGUACCAUAUGAAUAAGGAUCGGCUAACUCCGUGCCAGCAGCCGCGGUAAUACGGAGGAUCCGAGCGUUAUCCGGAUUUAUUGGGUUUAAAGGGAGCGUAGGUGGAUUGUUAAGUCAGUUGUGAAAGUUUGCGGCUCAACCGUAAAAGUGCAGUUGAAACUGGCAGUCUUGAGUACAGUAGAGGUGGACGGAAUUCGUGGUGUAGCGGUGAAAUGCUUAGAUAUCACGAAGAACUCCGAUUGCGAAGGCAGUUCACUGGACUGCAACUGACACUGAGGCUCGAAAGUGUGGGUAUCAAACAGGAUUAGAUACCCCAGUAGUC
rnacentral:rRNA from 1 species